CGCCGCUAGGAAGAGACAGCGUGUCCGAAAUCACUCUCUGACGUCACUGUGCAUAAUAUCCCACCACCCAUUCUUCAGCGCCUUCAGAGAGUGUCUGUUUCUCUUGCGCCGCAUGAUAGAUGCAUGCAAUGAAAAUGCAUCUCCAAGAAGAGUUGGAGCAUCGCGACAAAAUAACAGGGACACUGUAUGGAGUGUUAUGACAGGUCGGCCACAUGAAGGCGUUUCCAGUGUUGUCAUGCAUGAUGUCAGGGAGAUUGAGACAUGGAUCCUUAGACUAUUAUCUGCACCAGUUUGUGUACCUGGAAAA
rnacentral:lncRNA from 1 species